CAGCAUGCCCGCCCGCAGGUACACGGCAGCCGCCCUCCUGGCAGCUCUCGCGCUCGCCGCCGCCGCCGCCGCCGAAGACGGCAAUAAUGGAAUAUCCAAGUUGAAAAAGACCUCGAGCCUCUUCCCGCACCCACGUAUUGGUCGAUCCGAGUUCAUCAAUCAUGAAGCAGGGAACGGCGGACAGAAGCGGGCCGCGGGCCUCUUCCAGUUCCCCCGCGUCGGCCGCGCCUUCAUCGACGCGCCGCUGCCCUUCCCUCUGAGCGUGGUCGGCCCGCUGCGUCUGGCUCCGUCGAGCGACAAGGACGCUGACCCCGAAGCCGCCACCGUUGCAGAGCAGCCGUCGCCCUUUGAGGGCCACAAGCGCAAGGGCCUGGUGGCGAACGCUCGCGUCGGCCGGCGCGACGGCGCCGACACGCCG